rnacentral:rRNA from 2 species
GACGAACCGUGCGAACGUUGUUCGGAAUCACUGGGCUUAAAGGGCGCGUAGGCGGGCGAUCAAGUCAGGGGUGAAAUCCUCCAGCUCAACUGGAGAACUGCCUUUGAUACUGGUCAUCUCGAGUGAGGUAGGGGCAUGCGGAACUGAUGGUGGAGCGGUGAAAUGUGUUGAUAUCAUCAGGAACUCCGGUGGCGAAAGCGGCGUGCUGGACCUCUACUGACGCUGAGGCGCGAAAGCUAGGGGAGCGAACGGG